GAUGAACGCUAGCUACAGGCUUAACACAUGCAAGUCGAGGGACCGGCGCACGGGUGAGUAACGCGUAUACAACCUACCCAAUAAUCAGGCAUAACCCGUUGAAAGACGGACUAAUUCCUGAUGGAAUUGGAUGGGGAUGGUUCUGUUUAGUUUGUUGGUGAGGUAACGGCUAACAAAGACUUCGAUCAGUAGGGGUUCUGGGAGGAAGUUCCCCCACAUUGGAACUGAUACCCGGUCCAAACUCCUACGGGAGGCUGCAGUUAGGAAUAUUGGUCAAUGGAUGCAAAUCUGAACCAGCCAAGUAGCUGGCAGGAUGACGGCCUAUGGGUUGUAAACUGCUUUUAUGUGAGAAUAUGUAUCACAUGAAUAAGGACCGGCUAAUUCCGUGCCAGCAGCCGCGGUAAUUC
rnacentral:rRNA from 1 species